AACGAACGCUGGCGGCAUGCCUAACACAUGCAAGUCGAACGAGACCUUCGGGUCUAGUGGCGCACGGGUGCGUAACGCGUGGGAACCUGCCCUUAGGUUCGGAAUAACUCCCCGAAAGGGGUGCUAAUGCCGGAUAAUUUCUUCGGACCAAAGAUUUAUCGCCUUUGGAUGGGCCCGCGUUGGAUUAGCUAGUUGGUAGGGUAAAAGCCUACCAAGGCGACGAUCCAUAGCUGGUCUGAGAGGAUGAUCAGCCACACUGGGACUGAGACACGGCCCAGACUCCUACGGGAGGCAGCAGUGGGGAAUAUUGGACAAUGGGCGAAAGCCUGAUCCAGCAAUGCCGCGUGAGUGAUGAAGGCCUUAGGGUUGUAAAGCUCUUUUACCCGGGAUGAUAAUGACAGUACCGGGAGAAUAAGCUCCGGCUAACUCCGUG
rnacentral:rRNA from 1 species